ACCUGGCUGGCUCAGUCGGUAGAGCAUGCAACUCUUGAUUUCAGAGUUGUGAGUUCAAGCCCUACAUUGGGUG
rnacentral:tRNA from 1 species